rfam:Cucumis sativus cultivar 9930 chromosome 2, whole genome shotgun sequence.
ACUGUGAUGAUGAGCUGCUAACAUGUAAGAAGAGGUCACUUUUGUAGUGGCCUCUUCAGUGAAAUCUAUUUGUUACGCUUGGCUUCUGAGCAUU